GGAGCAGGGGGUGGGGGGUGGGGGCUUUGAUAUGUUAAUUAAUGUUUCUUCUUUCCUUUUUUAUUCCCAUAAAUAUUCACAAAGAGACUGGGUGGUCAUCAGGUUGACUCAGAGAGAGGGUAUCUCAUUUCUGAACCCCAAAACUCAAAGGCAUUCUGGUACUCUAGAUGAAGAAUGAGGUAAGCACUUCUCAGAAUUCCUGCUUUGGAGCACAUGAAGAUACAUUCCCACAGAUAAGGCUGCAGGAGGAAAUUAAAAAGGCAAGAAAAUUUGCUUUGUUGAAUCAACAAGAAGGGGCUGUGUGCCUAUGCCCUUCUCCCAAGGCCAAGUACAGCAUAGAGAUGUACUUGGAGGAGAUGAAUCCUGAGAUAGAGUGGGGAACUCUAUAAAAGAGUCUCCCAUCUUGGAACCUGAGUCUCCAAAUAUAUCAGGACCCCAGAAUGUAAGCAAUAAGUAAGAGUCUAGCAGAGAAGUGGUCUACGUGCAGGCUGUGGAGGGGACCCUGAGAUGGACUCAUAGAGAGGGCCCUGCAUGGGGAAGGCAUGAAGACAUGUAAACAAAAUAAAAGAUAAAAUACUGUACAAGGAGAGAAAGUAGUGAUCCAGAUGGAUUGAGAGCAAGAGAGAGGGACCCAACAAUUUGACAGGGGCAACCAAAUGAGGCAGACACUAAUACCAUGGCCAAAUGCCCUCCUCCAGUCCCACUACCAUGACUGGACAGAGGGUAACAGCUUGUGCCCUCGAAAUCCUGGCAAGGCUACCCAUCCUCAACAAGCCAAUUAAAAUAGCCAAAUGGAUGGGGAAAAGCAGAUGUGUGGCCACAUCAGGAGAAGAGAGAAAGAUAGUUACCUCUCCAAAUCCAUUUUCAGGGUCUUAACUAAGCAGCCAGAAGCAAGAUGUGGUACCUACUACUCCAAGGCUCUCUUGCAUGGUAGCCUGACAAGCUCCUCAUCUGGCUACCAGGACCUCAGCCUUUUCAGUAACAACCAGACCCUGACUCCCUCACCUUCAAUUGGGAAGACAUUGUCUCAGGAUCCCACCAUCCCAGUCCUCCUGACUACUUCCAGGGAUAAAUUGACUUGUUCUUCCUUUCGCUCCUAUUCCUCAUCCUUGUGACAAAGUGAAUACAGGGUGUCAUGCCCCACAUGACUUGGUCCUGGAAACCUGACUUGGAUGAAGAAAGAAAACAGGACAGAUCCAGGGACACAACGCUGGAUGGAAACACAUCACCAACCACAACCAGGGACUCGGCAGCUUUAUUUUCCACGGGGAAUGAAAGAGUCAGGAUGAGUCAUGUGUGGAACAAAGCUGGCCUGAAGACUGUGGGAAUCAGCACCUGAAAGCAUUUGCAGCAGGUGCAUGCGCAGGUCCCUCUCCACCUGCGUGUCCAGCUGCUGCAGCACCGAGAUGAAUGCCUGGGACCCAGCAAUCCAUCAGAUCGCCCCACUGCAGCUGCAGAUGACAGUCCAGAUGUUCACUCACGCUGCAGAAGGGCUGAGCCCAGGAUGUUCAACAGAAUUGGAAUCCACCUGCCUGAUGCUGGCGCUGUUUCCUCUUAUGCAGUCUCUGCAUGCUAGAUGACAAGAUGUAAAGAAAAAUUACUAAUUAAUGCUCUGCUGGCUCCAAAACAGCAAUAGAGAGGAAAUUCUUCUUUCACUUUAGCUCCUGCAUGAGCCUCAAGCUCUGUUCAUUAAUAGUUUGGAGCCUGUGCUCAGCCUUGAAGCUUCCACCAAUCUUGUGGCUCAAACUGCCCAUCCCUGGACCUCGAGUUCAAUUCUGGAGACACAAUGAGGUGUCCUCAACUGAAUGACAGAAACACCCUCACAGGACCCCCUCAUUUAAGAAGCUUCUUUUUAGAAGAGAUAGAAACCAUCAAAAAAAUUCAUAACUGGGAAAAAUGCAGGGAGUUACUGACCUGGGGUGGGCGGCAGCUCCACCUGAUGCAUCUACAACACAAUCCCUGUCCCGGUGGACCAGAGAACCAGAGAACCAGAGAACCAGAGGACCAGGACUUCUGCUAUAUGUUAGGAAGCUGCACCCAUGACUCUUAACAACAUGGUCAUCUAAAUAAGAACAGCAUAUGACAAUAUGUUAGCACACCAAUGUAGAUGAAGGAGUUCUCACAAUGCCCUACCCCAGGUGAAGAACUCUUAAUGGUUGCUAAGAGAAGAGAAUCCAUCUUCACCAGGGACAAGCCCCUGUAAGGGACCUGUAUUCAGGGCCAUAGGCUCUAUCCGGAGUGAGCUCUAGCCUCCUCCCUGACCCCACAGCUCCACCAUGUGUUGAGGAUCUCCUAUGCCUGUGUGGAUUCUCCUGAGUCAGCUUCUGCUUGCUCCCUGGCUCUGCAGAGUCUGCCAUGAAGCAUGGAGCUCCCUACUCCUGUGAGCCCAGCUCCAGUCCCCUCCUUGAGUCUUCAGCUUCUGCCACGCACCAUGGGACUUUGUCACAUCUGUCUUCCUUUAAAACUGGCUAAGGAGAUGGCUCAGUGUUUAAAGUGCUUAUAAUACAAGCAUGAACUCAGGAGUUUAAAUCCCCAGCACCUACAUAAAUUUGGACAUGAUGGUGCAUAUAUCCUUAAUUCCAGUGUUCCUACAGGGAAACAGGAGAUACAUAGGAGAAGCCUCAAAAGCUCUAAGUCAACUCACCUGGCAUUGGUAACAAAGCAAAGACCCUGUUGCAAAUUAGGUGCUCCACCAACCUGCCUUUAAGUGACGUGGUGCCAGCAGAUGACAUCGUUCCCACUGCCUGGUGCAUUUCCACUGUCCCUGUGAGUUGCUGCUACCCAAGAUCACUCUCUCUGGCUUGUUUGUUUUCUCUGUCUGUCUGCCUACCUGCCUGCUGGCCUGCCUGUCUGUCUCUAUCUCUCUCUGCCCCCACUCUGGGAAAGCCUUUUGCUCUUUCUCCCUCUCCAAACAAACCUCUUAUACUAGAUCUAUUGCUUGGUGUGAUCUCUUUGCCCAAUCUGCCAAGGUUCCCCUACCACUUUAUUCUAGUAGACUCUAUUUCCAACAAACUGAAAGAUGAGGACUGGCAGGUGGAGUUGUCCUUGGACCUCCUCAUGUGCCAGUAGACAUAUAGCUGCAGCACCACUUGCUAGCACACUCUCUCUACUACCCCCCAUCUCUCCUUCCCUACCCCACCCCCCCUCUCUGAGAGGGAGAGAUGAAAUAAAGGAACAU